rnacentral:tRNA from 1 species
CGGAGCGUAGCUCAGCCUGGUAGAGCACUGUCUUCGGGAGGCAGGGGCCGGAGGUUCGAAUCCUCUCGCUCCGACCAUUUAUCAGGAAUUCGGAUAGUUUCAGGCAGCGCCCUUUCGGGGCGCUAUCCUUCCUGUUCUGC